rnacentral:rRNA from 1 species
UACGUAGGGUGCGAGCGUUGUCCGGAAUUAUUGGGCGUAAAGAGCUUGUAGGCGGUCUGUCGCGUCUGCUGUGAAAAUCCGGGGCUCAACCCCGGACUUGCAGUGGGUACGGGCAGACUAGAGUGUGGUAGGGGAGACUGGAAUUCCUGGUGUAGCGGUGAAAUGCGCAGAUAUCGGGAGGAACACCGGUGGCGAAGGCGGUUCUCUGGGCCUUACCUGACGCUGAGGAGCGAAAGCGUGGGGAGCGAACAGG